GCGCGUUUGAGAGCGUGUGUAAGGAGAAGCAGCUGAGGUCUGAUCGGCGUAGGUCGGUGCCGGACAGCGCGGGGAAAAGGCCAAGGAGCCCUUUAACGAGUGUAAAUGGCAAUGUUAUACGAAGAGUGAUCUCAUGUGAGUUAAGCGCGUUCCACAUUAUCCAUUUGCGUGUGUCGUACGUGGCAGCGAGCAACCGAGUAUCGCACUAGUUAGUAUCCGUGCGAUUGUAAUUAGCCGCGUUCUUCCGAUUGAUUUGCGUCUGCGAAUGAAUGUUUGGAGCAACGAAGAGAACGAUGGCAGUGACGUCGGCGGGAUGUGAGGAGACUGAUCAAUACGUUUCAAUAUGGCAAUUCAAUUCUAUAUUCAUAUGUAUCACCGCAGCUUCGUGGCUGAGCUGAACUACGCAUCGAGUCGAUAUUCCUGGAGGUGAGAAUUGCCAAGAGGGAGCUAACGUCCAUCGUCGCCGAAUUAUUGUGAAAUAAACGAACCGCAGCCGGUUCGUCGCGUCGCGCGUUUUUCUUCCGGGAGUGCCGUUUAAGUAUUGGACUAAUGGACUUUUCAUAACUCCCAUUCGAUAGAAUCCUAAUUCGAGGGCCGGGAAUCGCACCCCCGCUGCUUGGCAGUGGAUCUCCUCACUGGGGCGUUGCGCAUGGUGGCUAAGAAAGACGGCGCACCGCGACGUUCCAUGCCGAAGUGCCCGUGCACGAGGCAAUGCCGGGCCGCACGUACGACAUGACCCGUGUGCAUGUUGCGCGGCUGUCAUCUGGUUGUGUGAGGUUUACACGCUCUGUCUCCGGCGAUCGGUUCGGUCCUAAGCGGUUAGAGUUCGGAUCGGUUGCCUUGGAUUCGCGCGUUUCUCUUGCUCUCGUCCACCAUCCUAAGGCUUUCUUAGAUCCUUGAUACCCUUUUUGGAUUCUUUGGAUCUGGGGUUCGAGCUGGGUGAAUCGCGUUUAAUCUGACUUGGUCAGAACUUGGCCUUGUAGGUUAAGCUUGUGACGAGAGGCUGGCUCUCAUUUCCUGAUUCGUCUAAAAUGCUAGACGUCGGCAAUGAGUACCUUCUUCUCUCGUC
rnacentral:lncRNA from 13 species